GUCUACGGCCAUGGCACCCUGAACAAGCCCGAUCCCGUCUGAUCUCAGAAGCUAAGCAAGGCUGGGUCUAUUUAGUACUUGGAUGGGAGACCACCUAGGAAGACCAGGUGCUGUAGGCA
rnacentral:rRNA from 1 species